AAUCGGUCCGAAAACGAGAGUGCCCCGGUGCCGCCGUGCCCGUGCUGGGGAGGUCCCUGGCCCUGCCUGUCCUGGCCGCGCCUGGCUGCCGCCCGGGAGACGGACGAAAGGUCGCGUACGGCCCAGUGCGUGUCCAGUGUCAGGCCGACGCGGACCUCGGCACCGCCUUCGCCGUCCCGUGCGGCCGCGGCAGGCUGACGGGCACCGGCCAGGGAAGUCCCCGCCGGAGACGACUCAGCACAGCAGCUCGCGGGCGCCGAGCGGCCAUGCCCCAGGACUCUGACGGGGACCUCGGCCUUCCGCUGGGAGUGAAGAACAACGACCCCGGCCGCCCGGACAGCCAUCGCCAGCAGGGAGGGUUGCCUACACUACCGGGGCAGUGUAGCCCGUCCAGCUCGCGCUGCAGUGCAGCACCGCGAACAGCCACUGAGGCGCCGCCGUGGCUCGGCAGCUGGACCACCACACCGUGGCGAGUGCAGCGCAGAGCCGUCGUUUGAACCGGCCCCGUUCCUAAGUACUAGUGCCGCAGGAGUGGGUAUUUGAAAUCCCCUGCCGCUCGAGUGCUUACCAAUGGGGAGGUCGCAUCGACUGUCGACCCGACUCUACCCCGCGACUGCGGGGACUCUAGCGCGGUGUCGCGCCGCACAACUCGCGUGCUUUACCCGCCCUGUGCCUGACCUCGGCCAGUAGACUGAUUCACAGUCAUUUGCGUCGCUCUGUUUCUCUCGCACUCUUCAAGUGCGGCGGAGACAGCGACGAAAGCGACUCUCGGAAUCAGUCAGCUGCGGGGUUUCAGCGACCGCGGUUGGUCUUGCGUCCAUUCGUGGGGGCUUCGCCUCGCCACCGACUGCCCGAUCGGCCGAUUCCAAGCGGUGGCGGAUCCCCCGCGUUGCGACGCGUUGCCAGCAUGGCGGCCAUGCGAGCCCGUGCAGUGUAGUUGUCUAGGUUCUGCAUGGCGAGGAAAGUAAUCUAUGGAUUAAGCAUGCAUGCCAUUUUGGUAGCAAUUUGAAUUAGUGCGGGUGGGGUGAAAAUAAAUGUGAGCCACUGCGAUACUUU